rnacentral:rRNA from 1 species
UACGUAGGGGGCAAGCGUUGUCCGGAAUUAUGGGGCGUAAAGAGCGCGUGGGCGGUCCGGUAAGUGGGUUGUGAAAGUCGGGGGCUCAACCCUCGGAUGCCGAUCGAUACUGUCGGGCUAGAGUCCGGAAGAGGCGAGUGGAAUUCCUGGUGUAGCGGUGAAAUGCGCAGAUAUCAGGAGGAACACCAAUGGCGAAGGCAGCUCGCUGGGACGGUACUGACGCUGAGGCGCGAAAGCGUGGGGAGCAAACAGG